rnacentral:misc_RNA from 1 species
AAUUCUCAAUCUCUACAACUUUGUGUUGUGUGGAUUGGAAGUGGGGGUUCUUUUGUGGGGAAUCUAAUUCCUCACUCCCCUUAAAUGUAUUAGCUGGAAUGCCUCUGCAUAUCUGACUAUCAGUGUGAUAAUUAUCUAUGCUGUAGUUGUUGCAUGAGGGUAUCUGCUUCAUAAAUCGUCGCAAGACAAAUCUAUGACCA